rnacentral:tRNA from 1 species
GGGGAUAUAGUUCAGUGGAAGAGCACUAUCCCAGCAUGCUCAAAGCCCUGGGUUCAGUUCCCAGCAUCACCA